UACGUAGGUGGCAAGCGUUGUCCGGAUUUAUUGGGUUUAAAGGGUGCGUAGGCGGCUUUGUAAGUCAGUGGUGAAAUAUGGCAGCUCAACUGUCAAGGUGCCAUUGAUACUGCAAAGCUUGAGUACAGAUGAGGUAGGCGGAAUUGACGGUGUAGCGGUGAAAUGCGUAGAUAUCGUAAGGAAGGCCGGUGGCGAAAGCGA
rnacentral:rRNA from 1 species